rnacentral:sRNA from 1 species
CCGCUCACGCCCGGUCGUA